rnacentral:rRNA from 1 species
CCUACGGGUGGCAGCAGUGAGGAAUAUUGGUCAAUGGGCGAAAGCCUGAACCAGCCAUGCCGCGUGCAGGAAGACGGCUCUAUGAGUUGUAAACUGCUUUUGUACGAGGGUAAACUCAGAUACGUGUAUCUGUGUGAAAGUAUCGUACGAAUAAGGAUCGGCUAACUCCGUGCCAGCAGCCGCGGUAAUACGGAGGAUCCAAGCGUUAUCCGGAUUUAUUGGGUUUAAAGGGUGCGUAGGCGGUAUGGUAAGUCAGAGGUGAAAUCUCGGGGCGCAACUUGGGAAGUGCCGUUGAUACUGGUGGGCUAGAGAGUAGUUGAGGUAGGCGGAA